rnacentral:rRNA from 1 species
GGACGGGGGGGGCAAGUGUUCUUCGGAAUGACUGGGCGUAAGGGCACGUAGGCGGUGAAUCGGGUUGAAAGUGAAAGUCGCCAAAAAGUGGCGGAAUGCUCUCGAAACCAAUUCACUUGAGUGAGACAGAGGAGAGUGGAAUUUCGUGUGUAGGGGUGAAAUCCGUAGAUCUACGAAGGAACGCCAAAAGCGAAGGCAGCUCUCUGGGUCCCUACCGACGCUGGGGUGCGAAAGCAUGGGGAGCGAACAGG